rnacentral:rRNA from 1 species
UACGGAGGUGGCAAGCGUUGCUCGGAAUCACUGGGCGUAAAGGGCGCGUAGGCGGGGAGGUAAGUCGGGUGUGAAAUCCCUCGGCCCAACUGAGGAACUGCGCCCGAGACUGCUUCUCUUGGGUCCCGGAGAGGAAGGUGGAAUUCCCGGUGUAGCGGUGAAAUGUGUAGAGAUCGGGAGGAACACCGGUGGCGAAGGCGGCCUUCUGGACGGUGACUGACGCUGAGGCGCGAAAGCGUGGGGAGCAAACGGG